rnacentral:rRNA from 1 species
GGUUGACCUCGGAUCAGGUAGGAGUACCCGCUGAACUUAAGCAUAUCAAUAAGCAAGAGGAA